rnacentral:lncRNA from 1 species
AGAGAAUGAAACUUGGAACACACUGAUUUGUAUGGUUCCAUCACAGACACGUUUUCCUUCCGAGUUGCAUGAGUCAUGAGUCAAUUGAGCACGAUGUUGUUGAGCUUGGGUGCUGGAAACGUGAGCUUCUUCGCCCCUUUGGCAUGACAGUUCUCAUUCGAUCAGUGUUCGAUGAGUGGCAUAAGUUGGCAGAUCCGUGUGCUUGCUGACUGGAAGGCAAGCUUGUGGAAAGAGGAAACACCUGUUGCUCAUAAUACUAAGCCAGUCGCAUCAAGUUUGAUGCCUUGAGUAUAAAUCCUGGAUUGCUGAUCUGUGGUUUCUACUACUCUGGUUCGUGUUCGUCGCCAGUGUUUUGGUUACAGCUCGUAGCUUCAGCUUUUGGGGAGAUCGAAGGAGAUGGUAGCUUUAGCGUUUCCUUGUUCUCGUGCUACGUUUAUGACUACGAGUAAUGAUACUCUUCUUCAAGGAUAGGAUUCAGGCAACUCUGAGGAUGUGGGUCACAACCGCGGUACUUACUUGAAGAGUAUUCUCCUCCCUGGCGACGAGUGACAGAUGCAAUGAUCUAGCCUAUACCUUGUUUACAACACUAAAUUGUCGUGCAGUCUUAUAUCUGCAGAUGGAUGUGACACAGUUUGGACACGGCAAUCUGGAAUCUGCGGCCGUUGACAGGUUACCUCCAGAUGAGGGUAUGAGGGUUGGUGGUGAAAGCCUUGAAUGCUUCUCAAGCUUGCUCGCAGGAACUCAAUCAGACACCACUUGGAGGCUCCCAUCGAAUGAUAGUCUGAUGGAAAUGAAACCACGCCCCGUUUCUCCGAAAGAGGGGUUUAGAAACUGAUCACCAUUUUACAGAGUACAACGACGUACCAAUCAGCUCUGCUAGCGUGUAUUAUUUUGUAAGGCAGCUUUGAUCGAUUUUUGCGGUUUAUGAUUGGUUACACGUGCAGAGUUGGGGGAAUCACAGGAGUUCCGUAUCAAGGUCCCUGAUGAAUGAGAGCAAGUUAGUUUAACGUGGAUUGAGAGAAACCUGCCACUGAAAGGCCCUGUUCAACUUUAGGUGGAAAGGGGAUGGAACAUGAUCAAAGUUACUAACUAUUAUUAUCGAAUGAACCAGCAGAUCUUCCAUGCUACACUGAUGUGCAUGUGAUCAUCACGUAUCCCGGAGCUAUCCUUCACUCCCACGCUUGCAAUUGCGAUGAGCUUUGAAAAUUUUGAGAUCCACAGUUAGAGAAUUUUCGAGGAAUUUAACCACUGCAUUUAACCACUGUAUCGGAUAAAUACCUUCAUAAUCUCUCGUGAGGUGAAUAAACUAUUCCCAGCACUAGCACCACGCAAAGUUCUCAUAAAUUUUCCUGAGCAAUAUUUUUGAGCCAACUAGGCCACAUUUUUGUUGAAUGUGACAUAUUCUAUGUACCAAAAGCUUUGACUUAUCC